rnacentral:rRNA from 1 species
UACAGAGGUCUCAAGCGUGGUUCGGAUUCAUUGGGCGGAAAGGGUGCGUAGGCGGCGCGGUAAGUCGGGGGUGAAAUCUUGGAGCUUAACUCCGAAACUGCAUUCGAUACUGCCGUGCUUGAGGACUGGAGAGGAGACUGGAAUUUACGGUGUAGCGGUGAAAUGCGUAGAUAUCGUAAGGAAGACCAGUGGCGAAGGCGGGUCUCUGGACAGUUCCUGACGCUGAAGCACGAAGGCCAGGGGAGCAAACGGG